GAUGAACGCUAGCUACAGGCUUAACACAUGCAAGUCGAGGGGAAACGACAUUGGAAGCUUGCUUCCUUUGGGCGUCGACCGGCGCACGGGUGAGUAACGCGUAUCCAACCUUCCCGCAAGUAAGGGAUAACCCGUAGAAAUGCGGCCUAAUACCUUAUGUUUUCCUUAGAGGGCAUCUGAUGAGGAACAAAGAUCCGUCGCUUGCGGAUGGGGAUGCGUCUGAUCAGUUAGUCGGCGAGGUAACGGCCCACCGAGACGACGAUCAGUAGGGGUUCUGAGAGGAAAGUCCCCCCACAUUGGAACUGAGACACGGUCCAAACUCCUACGGGAGGCAGCAGUGAGGAAUAUUGGUCAAUGGGCGGAAGCCUGAACCAGCCAAGUAGCGUGCAGGACGACGGCCCCUAUGGGGUUGUAAACUGCUUUUAUGCGGGGAUAAAGUGGGCCACGCGUGGCCUUUUGCAGGUACCGCAUGAAUAAGGACCGGCUAAUUCCGUG
rnacentral:rRNA from 1 species